CGUCAUGACUGUAGUCGGGUGUGCAAGUGGGUUUCUUCGCUCUCGCUGCUGUAUCACGCCACUCUAAAAGACUUUAAUUAGCAGCAAAAUAUAAACAAGACAAGCAGUAACUAUUAUGCUAUAAGGAUGAGAGCAACACAGAUGGUGAGGUGGUAAUAUUACACAACACCUCUCAACAACUUAUAAAAUAACCAUAUAAAACAAAAUCAUGAAUUACAAAGACAGAAAGUCGCUUCUCACGCUGGUGUUGGUGGCGGGUUGUGUUCACCAGAUCAGCUCACAAGGUGAUGACACAUUCACUCAUCAUCCAGUGGUAAACGGUCACACCCGUGGACCAGUGGAACGCCUGUACAACAGCAGCCUGACUAUUCAAGCCAAGAGCCGAGAAGACCAAACAGUCGACGAGUGUUUCUCAAACCUCAAGGAUGACCACACCGAGGACCAGGCGUCGCCACCAGGUUUACACAUCCACACGGCUGAUUGGUCGAGGAAUCAAGCGUAUUGGAACUUCAAGAAUUGGUGAUUGGUCGAUGGUAGACAUUUCCCAGCUUUGACCACCCAACCAUCCAGCCACCGAUAUUGCCUGGACAAGCUCUGGUGGUGGUGACGUAUGACUAUCUCAAGAAGGUGUAUGUACAGAGGCAUGUGGCUGAGGUGGACAAUAUAACACUCCACUACAGUUUCUAUCUGAGUGAGGGUCAUCCACCAGACGCCGUGCCUGAACUGAAGGU